GACAGAGGUGGCAAGCGUUGUCCGGAUUUACUGGGCGUAAAGGGCGUGUAGGCGGUUCCAUAAGUCGGCCGUGAAAAGCGUCAGCUCAACUGAAGCAGGGCGACCGAGACUGUGGGGCUUCGAGUGCGGGAGAGGGAGGUGGAAUUCCCGGUGUAGCAGUGAAAUGCGUAGAUAUCGGGAAGAACACCAAUGGCGAAAGCGACUUCCUGGCCCGCUACUGACGCUGAGGCGCGAAAGCCAGGGGAGCGAACGGG
rnacentral:rRNA from 1 species